AGUAUCUUGUGAACCAGCAUCAUUGUGAUCCUAGAAGUAAGUAUGUAAUUAUAAACUUGUGAUUUUCAUGCGAUAUAGAUUAUGUAUGUCACCAGUAUGAAUGGUUUUGAAGCGUAGCCGCGUUGUAUGCAUGAAUAAUAUAGCUAGUUGCUAGUAGUUGCAUAGACUUGCUAGAGCUGGGAUGUACUCGUUUGUUGUCAUCUAAAGAAGCUAAACUUCUACUUGGCUUUACAUGAGGUCAGAGGUCACCACUAACCUGGAAGGAACGCAAUUUGGAAGUGAAGCCGGUUGAAAACAAAUGAAGUCAAUAGAGAUUCUGUGCAUGAUAUAGAUUACAGAUCUAUACAAUGUUUUUAUUAUUGUUUGCAGUGUUUUUAUUGUAGAAGUGAUAUCGAGUUUGCAAUGCAUUGCGCAUGCGCAGAACACAAUGCCAUGUGCUUAUUAUAAAUGUUGGUUUGCCUCUGCGGCAGUUGCUGCAUGUUCUCGCUUCAAUGACUAUGGCCAAGCUUGUAUAUAAAACAAUCUUCAUUUGAUACAUUGUAACGGCUGGCUUACGAGACUACGAAUUUCUAAUCUACUUCAUUUCCAACUCGUUUUCCUUCCAUGUGGCUUUACUUCUGAGUUAGUGGUGACCUCUGACCUCCUGUAAAACCAAUUGGAGGUUUCGCUUGUAAAGAGACCUUAAAUAGUAAAAUGAUAGCAACACAAAGUAAAAUAAUUACAGAACUAUAGCAACUACUAGCAACUAUUAAUACAACAUGGCUAUUAACUUCAUUUAAAAUGUUCACUUCCAAGUUGUGUUACUUCCACGUGGCCUCACUUUCGAGUUAGUGGUGACCUCUAAACUAUAGGAAUUGAAUUGCUCUAAUGGGCUUCCGUAGACAUUUGGAUGGUUCUCUAUUGUGCUACCAUGCAGUUGCUGCAGACAAUGAACUUGGAAGCUGGACAUGAUAAAAUUAUAGUAUAAUCAUUUCUCUGUAGCUGUAUUUUCAGUGAAGUAUAGACAUUAAUUUACCACGUGUUUUAUACAUACAGUUUACUAUCGCUAUAGAUAUAUAAUCUAUCCCAAGCCUAUUUUCUCCCUUCCGUUUUAUAAAAAAAGUUGACCUGUGGGGACGAGGCUAUAAUAGGUAUGCAUGAAAUAAUUAUGAAAAAUAUCAGUAAGUAUAUAGCUAUAAUAGUGUGUUUGGACCGGAUUGAGAAGAAAGUUACCCUUUUCUGGAUAUCAGACAAGACACUAUAGACUUUUAGUGAUGACAUUAAUUUGUGUGAACAUCCUUGGCACUGAUCAUGUAGUGGUCAAUUGUAUUCCGUGGAUCCAUAAUUAGUUUCGCAACAAUAGUAUAGCUAUAGUAGUCCAAGCAUGUUCCAGUAUACUGCGUGUCAGUUAUCCACUUAUAAUGUCCACGUACACCUUUUUAGUAUUGUCACUAGCAUCAUUGUGAUCCAUCAGUUGUAUCAUUGUACGUUUAAAUAGACCACACCCACUAAUUUUCUUCUUUAUAAUACUGUGCUUUUUACUUCUCUAUGCAUGUACGUAGUACAGUUGCAAAUUUAAAAUUGUAAAAUCAGACGUAACAUUUCACUUCAACUUAUUGGUAACUGCUGUUAUCAGUGAAAUGACAGUUUUACUAUUGCCAAAAGUGUAAGCCUCGAUAAGAGGCCGCGGGUAUUUAUUAUAAUUAUUUGAUGGGCGUAUAUUCGAAUAAAACCUCAUGCACUAUAGCUGUUCGGGAAAAUACACUUAAAGUCUGAAUUCGACCUUCAUAAAGUUGUCGUAACUUUGUCAAACUUUACUGAAAUUCAUAAUUAUUAUACCAUUGGAUUCCUUGUUAAAAAAGCGCUUUUACUAUAAUGCUCAAUAGAGUUGGUAAGCUCCAACCAGCUAAAAGUUAGCAUUUUCCAUGUAGAAGUCCCUGGCAUACUUGUCAACCACAUAAAGCAUAAAUGAAGCCAUAAUUUACCACAUAAAUUCCGGGCCGAACUCAACGCAAAUAGACUUUAGUCCCCUCUUGUACCUACAGAAAAUGGUGGGCAUGUAUUCGCGAGGGUAUAAUUAUUAAAUGCAUGUGUGUGUUUUUCACUGCAUGUUAACUUGUUUCUAGUGUCCACAACUUGCUACCAUUGCAGUGGCGGAUCCAGGGGGAGAUCCAAGGGAGCAAAUUAAGGAACCCCCCUUUAAUUUGCUCAGAAUAUUAGAAUUGAUUUUUAGCAAUCUACAGUCAUUUACAGUCAUAUUUUACCUAUUCUACAGAUGUACUAAGGUCAAUACCUGCAUGCAUGCAGUCAACUCUAGAAGGAACAGAAGCUAGCUAAAGUGGCAGCUUCUUCUUUCUCAACUGGAUCGUGGGUUGCCAGUGGGUUGUUCACUGUAUACUGCUCUUUUUGGACAAAGGUUUUCUCACUGUUCAAAGGUUUUGAAAUGGACUAAGAAAAAAUACAUUGGAUUCUUGGAUGUAUACCACGCUCCAUGCAUUCACUCCAAGCAUCGCUACUGGGUGGGACUGCUCCUCUUUGUUCCGAUUAUCCAUAAUCUAGUAGUUGCCAUGGCUCCAGACAUGUCUCUCCCUGUGUUAUCAUCUGGGGUUCUAUCAGUUGGACUGAUAUUGUCUGGAAAUUAUUAUUAAUUUGUUAUAAAAGUAAGUUUUAUGAUUCCCUUGAAACUCUCUACCUAUUCAUCAUAAUUAUUUGCAUUUGGUACCUUCUAUAUAUGUCAAAGAGACAAAGAGAGAUCAGUCAGCACUGUCUAUAGCCAAUACUUCAAUGGCUAUAUCAAUCACCCUAGCUCUUCUUAUAACAUUCUGCUAUUUUUACCAAUUCUUAUACUCAAGAAAACUAAUACAUGGCUGAAAAUCGAGGACACCGUAAGAAACUUAGGAGCUGUAGACUGUAGUUGCAUGCAGACAUGAGACUCCAACAAGCUAACCAAUGCCUGGGAAAAGUAUAAUUAGCGUUCCCUCUAUGAGUGUCCACAAGGCUGAUGGACAAGGUCAGCAGAAAGUACAGCAGCAAUGGAUCACGAGGCAGCAAGGACAUGCAAGUGAUGAGUGUCGUGGCUAUCAGUUAUAGUUUUGCAUAAUUAUUAUUAUAACAGCUAUAGGCAGCAUCAGCUAUAGGCAGCAUCAGCGUGACAGUAACAAUGUUAUUGCAUGCAUUUUACUGAUUCAUUGUACAGAAGUGCGAAUGCUAGAAGAACUUGGAAGAGGGAGUUUUGGAGUAGUCCAUCGUGCUAUGCAUGUAUGGAGGGGUACUUCAGUUUCUGCCAAAAUCUUGCCAGUGGGACAUAAUAUGCAUGCAUGCAUGGGCUCUCAGAUGCAGUUUCAAGGGAGAUUGCUGUAUAUGCAUGGGUAUAUAUAUAUAUAAUUAUAGGAAAUACAUGAACACAAUUUUAAGUCGUGUUUCCUAUAUUUUAUAUAUAGAAGUGUACAUGCAGCAUCCCAACAUACUCUCAUUACUGGGAUCGAGUUAUUAUCCAAGAGACGAGGCUCCUAUAAUCAUCACCAACUGCAUAUGCUAAUUUUUGACUCAUUAAGAAUGUCACUGCUGAGACUGAGUGACUGAAGUGCAGAUUGGAUUCCAAGUGGCUCAAGCUCUACGAUAUAUGCACACUUCUAAUCCUCCUACAAUUCACCUUGAUGUGAAACCAGCAAAUGUCCUUGUACGUCUAAAAUGUCUCUGAGAAAGACGGCCUGGUAUACACUGUUUACGCAUGCGCCAGAAUUACCCAGAAUCUGGGUAAUCGUAAAUUGCAGUAUAUUUAUCAGUAUUCUUAUUCCGCAUUAGUUUGUAAAACAUUGAUAUCCGUUUCAUUUAUAAUGAUGUCAUUGAAAAAAGAAAUCUAGUCCAAGUUGUGUCAGUAAUGGCUGCUACCUUCUCUUCUGCUCUCGCGUACGCGUUAUCCUGUGUUGGAAAACCAGGUCUAGUGAAAGACAAGCAGCUGGAGGCGUUGAAGUGUCUGUACGCUGGUGUUUAUGUGGGUACCGUACCGACCGGCUAUGGCAAGUCCCAGAGCAAGUCCAUCUGCUUUCCAGACACUCCCUUUCUUGAUUGAUGUGAAGCUUGACAGGACCAGUGCACCUCUCUCUGAAAGAAGUGUUGUGAUGGUGAUUUCUCCUCUUGUUUCUCUGAGUGAAGCCAUCUUCAAAGUGUUGGUGUGUCUGUUCGACGUUCAGUGCCAUUCUCUCUGGAAGGAAGUAUUGUUGUGACAUUUGCCGAAAAUUGGUCACAGAGUAAGUACGUGGUGAUCCGAGAACUGUGUGGCCUGAAUGUGUUUACAAUCCGAGGGACUUGUGUGUAUCCGAUCCGAGGGACUUGUUGCUUGAGUGUGUAUCCGGACUUGUUGCUUGAGUGUGUAUUAAUGGAUAGUGCUUUCAAUGGUUUAACUAAUUUCUUAUGAGAUUAACUUGUCGCCUGAGUGUGUAUCCGAUCCGAGCCUCAAGUUAAAUCUACAGACCUGAUGUUUUACUUAGCUGUCUCUGUCUACAGUAUAUUAUAUACAGAGAGGUAGCCUCUUCUUUUUCUUUUUUCUGUUCUCUUUAUCACAAUAAGAUAAAAUACUGUUUUAACGUUCAAUGAGAUAAAAUACGGUAAAUAAUAAAUUAAUUGUCCACCCACGCG